rnacentral:tRNA from 1 species
CAAAAAUUAGUUAAUAAUAUAACGUAAGUUUGUCAGGCUUAAAUAGUCUUUUUAGACAUUUUUGA